UAUAGAGAAAUGCACUAUAAAGGAGUAAAAUUGGAAACCUCUCGAAGGCUACCACAGGCUCUCAAAAUCAACUCUUAUUUCGAAACGUCCUCAUCGUACAUAGUGGUAUCAUCAAGCUUGAUCUGG
rnacentral:ribozyme from 1 species